rnacentral:rRNA from 1 species
GAUGAACGCUGGCGGCGUGCCUAAUACAUGCAAGUCGUGCGGUAAGGCCCUUCGGGGUACACGAGCGGCGGACGGCUGAGUAGCGCGUGGGAACGUACCCCAAAGUGAGGGAUAACUGCUCGAAAGAGUAGCUAAUACCGCAUGUGGUCUUCGGAUUAAAGCUUCGGCGCUUUGGGAACGGCCUGCGUAUGAUUAGUUAGUUGGUGAGGUAACGGCUCACCAAGACCACGAUCAUUAGCUGGUCUGAGAGGAUGAUCAGCCAGACUGGGACUGAGAACGGCCCAGACUCCUACGGGAGGCAGCAGUAGGGAAUUUUCCACAAUGGGCGAAAGCCUGAUGGAGCAACGCCGCGUGCAGGAUGAAUGCCUUCGGGUUGUAAACUGCUUUUAUAUGUGACGAUUAUGACGGUAGCAUAUGAAUAAGGAUCGGCUAAUUCCGUGCCAGCAGCCGCAGUAACAC